AACCCGAUUUCCGCUUCCGGCUCCUCCCCGACGCCAUCUUGGCGCCGUCGCGCUCCUGUGACGUCACUAAAAAGGCGCCGCCGCCAUUUUCGGCGCCGUCGCGCUCUUGUGACGUCACCAAAAACGCGCCAAGAGGACGAUGACGCCAUCUUGGAGCCGGCGCGCUCCGGUGACGUCACUAAAAGCCGCGCCAAGGAAACGCCGCCGCCAUUUUGGGUGCCGUGGCGCUCUUGUGAUGUCACAAACGCUCCACAGAAGAUGACGCCGCCAUUUUUGGCGCCGUCACGCUCUUGUGACGUCACUAAAAACGCGACCAGACGCACCCGCCAUUUUCAGCACUGUCGCGCUCUUGUGAUGUCACUAAAAUCCUGCCAAUAAGGAGCCGUCGCGCUCGUUUGACAUCACUAAAAACGCGCCAAUAUGUAGGAGCCGUCGCGUCCUCGUGACGUCACUAAAAACGCGCCUGGACGCAGCCGCCAUUUUUUGCGCCGUCGCGCUCUUUUGACGUCACUGAAACCGCGCCAAGGACUUGGCGCCAUCGCGCUCUUGUGACGUCACUAAAACAGCGCCAAAACCCCGGCGCCGUCGCGCUAUUGUGACGUCACUGAAACCGCGCCAAGAAGCCGCCGCCGCCGCCGCCAUUUUGGCGCCGUGAGCGGGGGGGGGAGGAAGGAGCCGCCGCCAUGAAACCGCCGCGGCGGCUCCGUUUUCUCCCUUCGCGUUUGGCGGAGGCUCCGCGCAGCCCCGAGAGGCCCCGGAGAGGCGCGUGGGGGCUGCGGGAGAAGCGGGAGCUGCUGGCGGCGCUGAGGGCGGAGGCGCGGAGAGGCCUCCCCGAGCAGCGGCUGCCGGCGGCGCUGAGGGAGAAGCUGCCCCGGAGGAGCGAGGAGGAGGUGGGGAGGGAGCCGGGGAGGCUCGGGGGGAUCCCGGCAGGGGAGCCCUGAAAUCGGCACCUCAGAGAGCCCCGAAUUUCCCUCAGAAACCUCCAAAUUCCCCUCAGAAAGCCCCGAAUUUCCCCUCAGAGAACCCCGAAUUUCCUCUUAAAAAGCCCCGAAUUUCUCCUCAGAGAUCCCCGAAUUUCCUCUUAAAAAGCCCCGAAUUUCCCCUCAGAGAACCCCGAAUUCUUUCUCCAAAAUCUCCAAAUUUCCCCCUAAAACAGCCCGAAAUUUUUCCUCAAAGUGCCCCAAAUUUCCCCUCAGAGAGCCUUGAAUUUCCUCUCAAAAAUCCCCCAAAUUUUCCCUCUAAGAGCCCCGAAUUUCCCCUCAGCUCCAAAUUUCCUCUCAGAAAUCCCCAAAAUUCCCCUCAAAAAUCCCAAAUUUUCCCCAAAAUUCCCCUCAAAAAAUCCAAAAUUCCCCUCAAAAAUCCCAAAUUUCCCCCAAAUUUCCCCAAAUUCCCGAUUUUUCCCGAUUUUUCCCGCCUUUUGGCAGAUCCGGGCGUUCCUGCUCCAGCUCCGGGGCCGAGCGGCUCGAGAGGCCCUGACCUCGAAAUUCCGGAAAUUUCUGCUCUUCCGGCGCCGGAUCCGCGCCCCCAUCCAGGUUUUUUGGGGAUUUGGGAAUUUUGGGGAAUUUUCGGGAAUUUUGGGGGGUCCUGAGGGGAUUUUGGGGGUUCUGAGUUCAAAAUUUGGGAAUUUUCUGGAAUUUUGGGGGUUCUGGGCUCAAAAUUUGGGAAUUUUCUGGAAUUUUGGGGGUUCUGGGCUCAGAAUUUGGGAAUUUUGGGGAAUUUUGGGGGGUCCUGAGGGGAUUUUGGGGGUUCUGGGUUCAAAAUUUGGGGAUUUUGGGGAAUUUUGGGGGUUCUGGGUUCAAAAUUUGGGAAUUUUCUGGAAUUUUGGGGGUUCUGGGCUCAAAAUUUGGGAAAUUUCUGGAAUUUUGGGGGGUUCUGGGCUCAAAAUUUGGGAAUUUUCUGUAAUUUUGGGGGGUCCUGAGGGAAUUUUGGGGGUUCUGAGUUCAAAAUUUGGGAAUUUUGGGGGGUCCUGAGGGGAUUUUGGAGGUUCUGAGUUCAAAAUUUGGGAAUUUUCUGGUAUUUUGGGGGUUCUGGGCUCAGAAUUUGGGAAUUUUCUGGAAUUUUGGGGGUUCUGGGCUCAGAAUUUGGGAAUUUUGGGGAAUUUUGGGGGGUCCUGAGGGGAUUUUGGGGGUUCUGGGCUCUAAAUUUGGGAAUUUUCUGGAAUUUUGGGGGUUCUGGGCUCAAAAUUUGGGAAUUUUCUGGAAUUUUGGGGGUUCUGGGCUCAGAAUUUGGGAAUUUUGGGGAAUUUUGGGGGGUCCUGAGGGGAUUUUGGGGGUUCUGGGUUCAAAAUUUGGGAAUUUCUGGAAUUUUGGGGGUUCUGGGUUCAAAAUUUGGGGAUUUUGGGAAUUUUGGGGGGUCCUGAGGGGAUUUUGGGGUUCCUGGGAUCAUUUUGGGGGGUUCCAGAUCCCAUUUUUUUGAGGGUUCCCAUUGGGGUUCUGGAUCCCAAAUUUUGGGGUUCGGGGUCCCAAAUUUUGGGGUUCCAGAUCCCGGAUUUUGGGGUUUUUGGAUCCCAAAUUUUGGGGUUCCAGGUUUGGAAUUUUGGGGUUUAAGGUCUGGAAUUUUGGGGUUUUAGCUCCAGAAUUUUGGGGGUU
ensembl:lncRNA